GGCCUUCCCAUGUAUAUCCACAGGAAUCUACGGUUUCCCCAAUGAGCCUGCGGCUAAGAUCGCCUUGGAGACAGUAAAAAGCUGGGUCAAGGAGAACCAUGACAAGAUCGAACGUGUUAUCUUCUGUGUCUUCCUGGACACGGACUACAGGAUCUACAAGGACAAAAUCCCUCAAGUCUUCCAAGAUAAUGCUGUGGCUACAGACCAGGACACUGAGGAUGGACAGAAGAUAGGAGUCUUUACAGAUGAGGAAGUUCCACUUAAAGAAGACACUGCCAGCCAGCCAGCCAUGGAUCAAGGUAACCUGG